UGCAAGUCGAGCGGCAGCGACAACAUUGAUUCUUCGGAGGAUUUGUUGGGCGGCGAGCGGCGGACGGGUGAGUAAUGGCUGGGAACCUGCCCUGACGUGGGGGAUAACAGUUGGAAACGACUGCUAAUACCGCAUGAUGUCUUCGGACCAAAGAGGAGGACCUUCGGGCUUCUCGCGUCGGGAUGGGCCCAGUUGGGAUUAGCUAGUUGGUGAGGUAAUGGCUCACCAAGGCGACGAUCCCUAGCUGGUUUGAGAGGAUGAUCAGCCACACUGGAACUGAGACACGGUCCAGACUCCUACGGGAGGCAGCAGUGGGGAAUAUUGCACAAUGGGCGCAAGCCUGAUGCAGCCAUGCCGCGUGUGUGAAGAAGGCCUUCGGGUUGUAAAGCACUUUCAGCAGUGAGGAAGGCGUAGUGGUUAAUACCCGCUGCGCUUGACGUUAGCUGCAGAAGAAGCACCGGCUAACUCCGUGCCAGCAGCCGCGGUAAUACGGAGGGUGCGAGCGUUAAUCGGAAUUACUGGGCGUAAAGCGCAUGCAGGCGGUUUGUUAAGCAAGAUGUGAAAGCCCCGGGCUCAACCUGGGAACCGCAUUUUGAACUGGCAG
rnacentral:rRNA from 1 species